AAGUCGUAACGGUUUGUUUUGUUAUACGUAUGUUGUUGAAAAUUGUCAUAAUCCGAAUACAGUUGCAAUUGGUUUUGAAGUGGUCCGCUCUACCAAAGAGUACAGGAUGUCAAAUAAUCAUCCAAAGCUCGGUCGGUUAAGAGUGUAUCCUUCGCAUUUAUUUUUGUAAUUUACACCGACGCCACCAUGUUUGAUCUCAUAAAUAAUUUUGAGCACAAUACCAUCUCGUUACAAAAGUCCUUGUUAUAAGAGAAUUUCCCCUGCGUUUCGGUUGAGCGAGUUUUACAGCUUCCCACAUUCCAUUCGUGUACCUGAGCUCUACCAACUCUGGCGCGGACUCCUCGUUAUAAGCGAACAAGCGAUUACGUUGAAUCAUACGUGCUUAGACACCGAACUCGUAUACAUAACUGCGAUUCUCUUAUAACGAGGAGUAGUGAUGAUGUUCAUGUCAUGCAGAUCUAGCUCAAUAAUACGUCUUUGAAAUAUCUGUAAGGAAUUUUCACACGAUUCGCACCGAUGCACGAAAGUUAUAAUGCGAAAAUGUACUCAUUGUUUUAUUUGCACAAUGUAAUUAUCUUUCCUGCACUUUAUUAAAUGUAGACUUAUUGUUAGUCGUUUCUAUGCAGUGAAAAAAUUCGUAAACUAGUCCACAGCAAGACGGGAGAGUAAAUAACGGGCUGCCGAAUUUUCGUUGGAUCUGAAGAUAUUAAUGGAGUAUAAAAAAGGAAUGCUACAUAAGGAACCGCCUUCUUUUAUAAUGAAAUUUUAUAACAUGGUUGUGAAAGCCCUUGCGGAUAAAACAGCCAAGUGGCAUGAACUUAAUCCUCGGAUUUUGGAAAAACUUGUGAAGUUGUCCGAACUCACGUUUGAAAGAGGAUAAGUAUAAGCAGGAUGAUUUCAACGUCCUUAACCAUGGGGAUUUCCGUGUGAGCAAUAUGAUGUUUCGCUACGACGAACAAGGAAAACCCGUAGAUCUUAUGCUUGUGGAUUUUCAAAUAUCGCAUCAUGACUCACCAGCAGAAGACAUUCUCUUCUUUUUUGGCACCAGCCCGUCCGACGAAGUUCGAAUGCAUCAUCGUGAAUUUAUUUUGCUCAAGUACCACGUUACGCUAACACAUACAAUGGCUAAACUUGAAUGCAGCACGGAAGCGCCAAACUUCGAUACUUUGCUGGAAAUGUUGAGGAAGCGUGCUUUAUACGAGGUGGUAAUAGCUUUCACGUUAUUGCCACUUGUUCUCGUUGACAAAAGCAAAGUGAAAAGCUUGGACGAUUUAGCGUCGUCAGAUGAAAAAUAUGACAACCCCGCCUACCAGGAGAAAUCUUAUCGAAAGGUAAUGACUAGACUUCUACCGCUAUACAACGACAUGGGGCUGUUGGAUGUAUAGCUAUCUUUAUGGAUCGUUGUGAAGUCCUCUGAACACAUGUCAACCGGUCUUUCUAUAAAGCGCGAGGAGUAAAGAUUUUACGGAGCGUAUUGUUACU
rnacentral:misc_RNA from 1 species